AAACGACUCUCGGCAACGGAUAUCUCGGCUCUCGCAUCGAUGAAGAACGUAGCGAAAUGCGAUACUUGGUGUGAAUUGCAGAAUCCCGUGAACCAUCGAGUCUUUGAACGCAAGUUGCGCCCSAAGCCUUCUGGCCGAGGGCACGUCUGCCUGGGUGUCACA
rnacentral:rRNA from 1 species